CAGCCGUCUGGCCCCAGACAAUUCAGUGUUAGCCAGCAGAGCAUACGUAUCACAUUCUAUUUCACUCCAUAGACAGCUGCUCUGAAUAAUUAUUUAUUCGUUUUCAAGUGUAUCCGGUACCUGAUCCCUGGUUUCUGUGAUCUACAGGUAGUCACCAAGAAAUUACUUUGCAUCAUAUACGGCUCAACUGCUAAUUCUUGAACGCUACACAAGUUAAAGUAUAUACGCACGAAUCUCAGCGAUCAUCCUCGUCCUUAGACGGAACCUCACACAGUAAAAAGACCUUCGUGAGCCUCGUCGUGGUAACCACCACCAGCAAGAUGGUUCUGGAGCACGUCUACGCCUCCUGCAGCUACGAUGUUGACCCUCACGCCAGGAAGGCCACUUACAAGGCCAUGGAGACAUGCGGUUACGUGCAACAAGCCCAGCAGACCAGCGCCGUCAGGAGCAAGAGCACGGGGCAGACCAAGACCAAGAAGGCCAAGAACCAAACAGAUGUGUGGGGGCCCGUAUACCAGGACAAACAACAUUUUGUUGAUAUGCACAUCUGCUAGGGUCCCCUAGCCUAGGGCCCCUAGCCUAGGUAGUCCUAGUUACUCAGCUCUGCUAGUCCUACCUAACAUAUGUGCCUAUAGGUAUGCACAUAUGUUAGCUGGUUCAAAACAUGCUGGUAUCAAUACUGUGUAUUGAAUUUAUUAUUAAUACUAAGGGAAAUAUUAUAUGUUAGAAUUUAGUACAGUAUAUACUAAAUAUUCCGUAUUCAUGAAAUUAAUUUUAUCUAUAAUUAAUUUCAUCUUUAUAUUAAUUUAUAAAAGAAUCAUGACAUUACUGAAUAAGUAUUACAUACAGUAUUCUAUAAUAUUGUUUCCCAUAUUUCACAUUACGUAGAUCUCACGUAUAUACGAAUUAUCAUAUAAUUUUAUAAUAAACUAUUUAUUUAUA